rnacentral:rRNA from 1 species
AGAGUUUGAUCCUGGCUCAGAACGAACGCUGGCGGCGUGCUUAACACAUGCAAGUCGAACGCGAACGGUUUCUUCGGAAACCUAGUAGAGUGGCGCACGGGUGAGUAACGCGUAAGUUAUCUACCCUCCCAUCUGGAAUAACUCACCGAAAGGUGUGCUAAUACCGGAUACGUUGAUUUAUCAAGAAAGGUGGCCUCUAUUUAUAAGCUACCGUGGGGGGAUGAGCUUGCGUACCAUUAGCUAGUUGGUAGGGUAAUGGCCCACCAAGGCAACGAUGGUUAGCGGGUCUGAGAGGAUGAUCCGCCACACUGGAACUGGAACACGGACCAGACUCCUACGGGAGGCAGCAGUGAGGAAUAUUGCGCAAUGGGGGAAACCCUGACGCAGCGACGCCGCGUGGAUGAUGAAGGCCUUUGGGUCGUAAAAUCCUGUCAGAUGGAAGGAAAUGCUAUUGGUUUAAUAUGCCUUUAGUUUGACGGUACCAUCAAAGGAAGCACCGGCUAACUCCGUGCCAGCAGCCGCGGUAAUACGGAGGGUGCAAGCGUUGUUCGGAAUUACUGGGCCGUAAAGCGCGCGUAGGUGGCUUUUUAAGUCAGAUGUGAAAGUCCACGGCUCAACCGUGGGAAGUGCA